UUUGAUCUCAGGUCGGGCGGGAGCACCCGCCCAAUUUAAGCAUAUAACUAAGCGGAGGAAGAGAAACCAACGAGGAUUCCUUUGGUAGCGGCGAGCGAACUCGGAACAGCCCAGACUGAAAAUCCGGGGGCUGUGYUGCUCCCUGAAUUGUAGUCUUGAGAGGCAACCUCUGCAGCGGGUCGUGUGCAGGUUCCUUGGAAGGGGACGCUGAAGAGGGUGACAGCCCCGUCGACCGCCGGACCCUGCUGCGCAACGAGGUGUUGUCCAAGAGUCGGGUUGCUUGGGAAUGCAGCCCCUAUUGGGUGGUAAGUCCCAUUCAAGGCUAAAUAUGUGCGAGGGACCGAUAGCAAAGAAGUGCCGCGGGGGAAGGAUGAAAAUAACUUUGAAAAGAGAGUUAAAGAGUGCUUGAAAUUGCCGAGCGAGAAGCGGAUGGAGGGGAAGUCGUGCGCUCCCGUCUAGGUAGGGGUGGACGGCUACGGUGUUGUCGCCCCCCUUGUUGGACGUGGGGUGCCUGCCAGCAUGGGCUGCUGUGACCGGCAUUGCGGUGGGGAGCGAUUGAAACCCCCCAUGAGUGGCCGUCACGGCAGUCGAGGACCUUGAGCACGCGCCUCUUUCGGCGGGCCCGUUCGGGUUCCUGCGUGUUCGGGAUGCUGGCGAAAUUCCUCUAUCCUGCCCGUCUUGAAACACGGACCGAGGAGUUCAACGUGCAUGUGAGCCGGUGGGUGAUUAGCCCACGAGGCGGAAGAAACCUGAGUGGCUGGAACCCUCUGCGGGUGCAGCGUCCACCAACCACGAUCUGUUGUGAGAGGUUUGAGUGUGAGCAUGCCCGUUGGGACCCGAAAGAUGGUGAACUAUGCGUGAGCAGGGCGAGGCCAGAGGAAACUCUGGUGGAGGCUCGCAGCGAUACUGACGUGCAAAUCGUUCGUCGGACUUGGGUAUAGGGGCGAAAGACUAAUCGAACCGUCUAGUACCUGGUUCCCUCCGAAGUUUCCCUCAUGAUAGCUGGAGCUUUGAACAAUUUUAUCAGGUAAAGCGAAUGAUUAGAGGCCUCGACGGUGAAACACCCUCGACCUAUUCUCAAACUUUAAAUAGGUAAGAUUUCAGGGUUGCUUAAGCGAACCCCUAGGAUCAAUGAAAGCUCCAAGUGGGCCAUUUUUGGUAAGCAGAAUUGGCGAUGCGGGAUGAACCGAAAGUCGAGCUACGGUGCCAAACUGCGCGCUAACCCAGACACCACAAAGGGUGUUGAUUGAUACAGACAGCAGGACGGUGGUCAUGGAAGUCGAAAUCUGCUAAGGAGUGUGUAACGACUCAGCUGUCGAAUCAAUCAGCCCCGAAAAUGGAUGGCGCUGAAGCGCGCGACCUAUGCUCGGUUGUCGCGGCGAUUCUGACGCCGCGACGAGUAGGAGGGCGCGGGGCCUGCUGCGAAGCCUGGAGCGUGAGCCUAGGUGAAGAGGGUCCCGAUGGAAGUAGCAAAUAUUCAAAUGAGAACUUUGAAGACCGAAGUGGAGAAGGUUUCCAUGUGAACAACGCUUGGACAUGGGUCAGUCGGCCCUAAGAGAUGUGGAAACCUUGUAUCAAGGGCGCACUGCGCGCCGCACAUCGAAAGGGGGUCGGGUUAAUAUUCCCGGACCGGGUUGUGGAGGUGGACGGUAACAUAAGCAGCUCCCGAGAUGCCGGCGGGGCCGGCGGGGGCCGUGGGGAGGGUUCUCUUUCCUUCUUGACGGCUCGCCCACCCUGGAAUCGGACCACUCGGAGAUAGGGUGCAGCGCCCGGCAAAGCACAGCGCGUCCUGUGGUGUCCAGCGCGCCCCCGACGGCCCUUGAAAAUCUGGAGCUGCGGGUACCUCUCACGCCCGACCGUACCCAUAACCGCAUCAGGUGUCCUAGGUGAGCAGCCUCUGGUCAAAGGAAGAAUGUAGGUAUGGAUCCGUAACCUUGGGAAAAGGAUUGGCUCUGAGGGCUGGGCCUAGGGGUCUGCGCCUCGAUGUCGUUGGCUGCCGGUGGUCUGCCUGAGCUGCUCUCGCGGCGAGGGCGGUGCCCGCGGGCUAGUGUGCCGACGGGCGUAGAAUGUCUUAUGUCCCCACCUUUCGGAUGGGGCCGUGGGACUCUCCGUAAGCAUCCAACUGCCGGCUCAGAACUGGUGCGGACAAGGGGAAUCCGACUGUUUAAUUAAAACAAAGCAUUGCGAUGGUCCCAACGGAUGUUGACGCAAUGUGAUUUCUGCCCAGUGCUCUGAAUGUCAAAGUGAAGAGAUUCAUCCAAGCGCUGGUAAACGGCGGGAGUAACUAUGACUCUCUUAAGGUAGCCAAAUGCCUCGCCAUCUAAUUAGUGACGCGCAUGAAUGGAUUAAUGAGAUUCCCACUGUUCGACUCUGUGAAAUGACUUGAGAGGUGUAGAAUAAGUGGGAGCCUUAUGGGGCAAGUGAAAUACCACUACUUUUAACGUUAUUUUACUUAUUUCUUGAGGUGGAGCCGGAGCUCUGCCCCUGCUUCUCGAUCCAAGGUGCAGGCCCUCGUGGCCUGUCCGAUCCAAGCGAAAGACAUUGUGAGGUGGGGAGUUUGGCUGGGGCGGCACAUCUGUUAGAAGAUAACGCAGGUGUCCUAAGAUGAGCUCAACGAGAACAGAAAUCUCGUGUGGAGCAAAAGGGCAGAAAGUCAUUUGAUUUUGAUUUCCAGUACGAAUACAAACUGUGAGAGCAUGGCCUAUUGAUCCUUUAGCGUUUCAUAACUUGAAGCUAGAGGUGUCAGAAAAGUUACCACAGGGAUAACAAGGUUGUGGCAGCCAAGUGUUCAUAGCGACGUUGCUUUUUGAUCCUUCGAUGUGGGCUCUUCCUAUUAUUGUGAAGCAGAAUUUACCAAGUGUUGGAUUGUUCAUCCACCAACAGGGAACGUGAGUUGGGUUUAGACCGUCGCGAGACAGGUUAGGGGUCUCCCCUGCUUGCCCCUCAGCGAUCUUGCCCUCCCGCCUCUUCGCUUGUUGGGGUGAGUCUUGGAGCUCGACCUUUGCAUUCGUGUGGAUGUGGAGGGCACGGGAGAGCCGUACAACUUAGUGUGGUGGAAUAGUUAGUAAUUAGCAUGGUUGCAUGACACGCCUGUGGAAAAAGGGUUGUCCUCAUUCCAGUGGAAGAGGGCAACAAGGGGAAAGUCUGACGCUUCAGGCGUAUAGAGUCCCCAAAGUUCU
rnacentral:rRNA from 1 species